UUAUGACUUUAUUCCUUAAUUCGAAUAAAAAAUAUUGUUAUACGAGGGCGAAAAUCCGUUUUUCGAACUCACCGCACAAUUAAUUAGAAUUACAGGUUUAUAAAACGAAGUUUACAAUGUUGGGGUUCUUCUAUACCAAAAUCUAGCGCGGAAAUCAUCAGAACAAGUCAAGAAUGCAGCCUGACUGGGCGAAUGGGCGAUCAGUCUAACUGCUCCAUUAUGCCCUAAAGACAUCAGUUGCUUCCUGGAUGCAUUCCUGGAAUUCCAAGCGCAUAGGGAUGUGGUCGCUUCGUCAGGGAAUAGCACAUAGUCUUCAGUAUGAUUAAACACUGCUUGAGCCUCAUAUUCCUGUUUCCCAGUUGUGCCUAUUAGAGACGAUUUCAUAAAAACACUAUAUUGAAGAUUGAA